rnacentral:piRNA from 1 species
AACAUGGCUAGAAAAGAGAACGAAAA